CAUACAAAUAACCACCAGUUCCUUAAGGGCGCCCGUCAUUUAUUGUCAUCGACUUUUUCUAUGCUUAUUCACUUAGGUUACGUCCUUUAGAACUUCCUCGGCAGCCGAAAACAUCAACGAUUUUGCUGAUGGAGUGUUUUUAAACGAAGUUAUGGUCGAAAUAGAUCCGACCUACUUCACGCUUACAAGAGUACACCAAAAUGUCGACGGUGAUGUCAAUGUUCGAAUACAAAAUCUAGAUUUUCUGGUCCGUCACCUGAAAGAGUUUUACCAGG